rnacentral:rRNA from 1 species
GACGAACGCUGGCGGCGUGCCUAACACAUGCAAGUCGAGCGAGUGGAGUUCUUCGGAACAAAGCUAGCGGCGGACGGGUGAGUAACACGUGGGCAACCUGCCUCAUAGAGGGGAAUAGCCUCCCGAAAGGGAGAUUAAUACCGCAUAAGAUUGUAGCUUCGCAUGAAGUAGCAAUUAAAGGAGUAAUCCGCUAUGAGAUGGGCCCGCGGCGCAUUAGCUAGUUGGUGAGGUAACGGCUCACCAAGGCGACGAUGCGUAGCCGACCUGAGAGGGUGAUCGGCCACAUUGGGACUGAGACACGGCCCAGACUCCUACGGGAGGCAGCAGUGGGGAAUAUUGCACAAUGGGGGAAACCCUGAUGCAGCAACGCCGCGUGAGUGAUGACGGCCUUCGGGUUGUAAAGCUCUGUCUUCAGGGACGAUAAUGACGGUACCUGAGGAGGAAGCCACGGCUAACUACGUGCCAGCCGCCGCUGUAACAC